CGGCGAUGGAAAGCAGUCAACUCAUGGGUAGUAAAAAGAAUGUAUUGACAACACUAUAGGUUUGAAAAGGAAAGUUUUAUUAGAUGGAAAGAACAGUGCAGAAGACCGCAGCAGAGGACCUCAGCAAGAGAGAACUAAGUAUAUCAUGGUGGAUUUUUCCUAAGGGAAAAAGCAUUCCCAGAAGCACGGAGAAGUGAGGAGAAAAGGCAAUGCACCUGGAGCUGGAGACCAAGGCCCUGUUCUUACUGAUGGCCCUUGGAGCAGAUAUUUGAAUUGGAGAGAUAAAACCGUGGUUUUUGGGGUGUUAAUUUUGGUGGCUGAUGCAUUCUGUGAUUGAUUUGGCUAUUACAACUGGUAUUGAUUUUAAACACAUUAAUUGCAAAAUCUCAAUUGUGAUUUGAUUUCUGUAUUUACAAUACUAAAAACGAGGCUUUCGCCAGGAGAAGACAAUUGGCAGUACUCAGUUGGAAGUGCUUAAUUGUUAAUAUAUAUCAGCCGUGGUUCUUCAGCGUCGUCAGUGUUGCUCAGUCUUGCUCUUUGUGGCGACUACUGAAUGCUUGAAAAAUUCUCUCCUAUACUCCCACUCUGCACUGUAGAAGAGAAAGAGAGGAGAGUGGAAGAAAAAAGAGAGGGAGAGGAGAAAGAAAGAGAGGAGAGAGAAACAUGGGCAUGGAUGAUACAUAAGGUAGUUGUAAACUGUGAUCAGCUUUGAUAAUAACUAGA
rnacentral:lncRNA from 1 species